CUUGCCGCAGCGUACACAUGCAAGUCGAGCGGAAACGAUGGAGCUUGCUCCAGGCGUCGAGCGGCGGACGGGUGAGUAAUGCAUAGGAAUCUGCCCGGUAGUGGGGGAUAACCUGGGGAAACCCAGGCUAAUACCGCAUACGUCCUACGGGAGAAAGCAGGGGAUCUUCGGACCUUGCGCUAUCGGAUGAGCCUAUGUCGGAUUAGCUUGUUGGUGAGGUAAUGGCUCACCAAGGCGACGAUCCGUAGCUGGUCUGAGAGGAUGAUCAGCCACAUCGGGACUGAGACACGGCCCGAACUCCUACGGGAGGCAGCAGUGGGGAAUAUUGGACAAUGGGCGAAAGCCUGAUCCAGCCAUGCCGCGUGUGUGAAGAAGGCUUUCGGGUUGUAAAGCACUUUCAGUGAGGAAGAAGGCCUUGGGGCUAAUACCCCCGAGGAAGGACAUCACUCACAGAAGAAGCACCGGCUAACUCCGUGCCAGCAGCCGCGGUAAUACGGAGGGUGCGAGCGUUAAUCGGAAUUACUGGGCGUAAAGCGCGCGUAGGCGGCGUGAUAAGCCGGUUGUGAAAGCCCCGGGCUCAACCUGGGAACGGCAUCCGGA
rnacentral:rRNA from 1 species